GCCCCGCCCAUUUCCAGGCAGCUGGCCUCCGCCGGCCUCCGACGCCCGCCACGCUCUUCCUCUAAAGGCUCACGGGAUCCCGCCUUGACCGCUCGUCCAUCGUCUCUUCACCCUCCCUGGCCCCUCCAGACUUGCGUCCACCUUCUCCAGGCCCUUCCCCCACGGCCCUCCCCUAGACCGACCUCUGCUCCUGAAACCCCUCCAGCAAUUUGGCCCCUCCCAUUGCCCCUUCGGGACCUGUCCCCCCACCCCCGACCCUCCCGCCGCUGCCCAGCGCAGGAGUGACUUUGUUCCCCGCCGUCCUCGUUGUCACCCUCCACUCCUCCAUCAAGUUGCCAAGUCCAGUUUCCGCUGGAAACUUCGUCUGCAGAACCGAGAAAGAGGAGUGGCUGGCUCUGCAGACUCACAUAGUGUGUCUGGCAGGCUUGAUGGUUUCCAGAAAGGCUGGAAUGGAUGUUCUAGAACACUCAGCCUUCUGUUCCCCAGGGUCCUCUGCUGACCUCAGGCUCGCACAUGGACCAUGCUAGCUGUGUGGCCUUAGUGACUGAAUCUCAAUGCCUUCAUUGAUCAACUCCGCUGCCUCUGAUAUACUCCAGGUUCAUGAACAAUGGGUGGACUUGGACGACAAAUGUCAGUCCGUAAAAAUUCUUGGAGGAAAACUCCACGUCUAGCUCAAGAGUUCCUUGUCUCCAGGGCAUUUUGGUGCAAAGCUUGGCUUCCAGGACAUCUUGGAUGUAGCCAACACCGAAAGCCAGCGCUUGCCGUGGGGAGGAUUACUCACAACGUCUCUGACUUCUAAAGGAAAGAGCCGUGGAAACCAGCUCAGGCCUCUCUGGCGCUUGGAGAAACAUUUCUGGGUCAAGAAUUUCCAACCCAUAAAUUCCCCGUGUUUCAAAUUCACAGGAGGCCUGCGCAGGGCUGGGGUUUGCAUAACCUUUCACAUCACAGAACUUCCUGCUUCGUGGCCUCUGGACAAGCAUAUCAGGCUGGGCCAGGGUUCAGAAACACAGGCUGAUGGAUUGAGAUAUAUAAACAGAUCUAAAGUCAGACCGAAGCUCAGUGCCCUGGAAUUUGUCUGAUGAAAAAGGGGGAAUUUUAAAGAUACUUUUUUUGCACAAAUUUUUUUGGAAUGUCCACAGGGGGAUUGGGCUCCAGCCUGGGGACGUUGGCAGGAGUCACGGCCUCUUUUUCACCCCAGUUUCCCUCCAUCGACACCAGCGUGGGUGUUGCCCGAGAGAAUUUGCCACAGUGACUCAUCUCUGGCACUUGUCCCCUCUCCAGAAAGCACCAAACAAAAGUCAGCGUCUUUGAAGCGGAGACUUGUUUAUAAACUCAAGGCUUUUUUUUUUUUUGCAGAACAUUUUUGGGCCUUAGCAGAUUAUUAUUUUAACUUUUUCCCCCAGAUGUUCUCUCCAUAUUUGGGCAAGGCAAGAGGCUACUUUUAUUUGCUUUUUCAUGCGAAACCACAGCAUCUUGGAGAAGACAAUGGCUUCCUGGGCCUUCUCCCAAUCAUGGGUGAUCCUGGGCUGAGCCUUCAAGACCAACUCCGCUGCCUCUGAUAUUCUCCAGGUUCGCAAACAAUGGGUGGACUUGGACGAGAAAUGUCAGUCCAUAAAAAUUCUUGGAGGAAAACCCCACGUCUUGCUCAAGAGUUCUUAUCUCCAGGGCAUUUUUGUUCCCUGGAGAUAAGGAUCUGACCAUCCACUCUUGGCCUGUCAGAGCUGAGAGGCCAUCAAACCUCCUCCCCAUCUUACAGAGGGGAAACUGAGGCCCAGAGAGAAGAACAGGGUGUUUGUGGCUGAGCAUAGACUCUUUUUCUCCCAAUAUUUUUACUUUGAAAAUUUCAGAUCUAUAGAAACAUUUCAAGAACAGAACAACAAAUACCCAUAUUUACCAAUUGUUAACGUUAUGCUACAUUUCCCUCACUCCAUAUAUACGUGUGUGUGUUAGUUUCAGAUAUAGUGACACUUCACCCACAACACUCCAGCGUGUGUCUCCUUCUGUGUAACCACAAUACAACGAUCAGACUCAGGAAAUUUAAUGUCCAAUUGAUGUUAUUACCUAAUACACAUUGCAUAAUUCAAAUUUCUCUUAUUGCCAUGCUAAGCAUAAUAGUGUUCAUUGUAAAUUAUCUGCUUUUAUCUAAGAAUUAAUCAAGGGUCGCUUGGUGCAUUGAGCUGUUAUUCUCCUUCAAUCUACAACAGUUCUCAG
ensembl:lncRNA